rnacentral:rRNA from 1 species
UUCGCAAUGCCCGAAAGGGUGACGAAGCGACGCCGCGUGGGUGAGGAAGGCCUUCGGGUUGUAAAGCCCUGUCAGGAGUUAAGAAAUGUAGAUUCGCUAAUAUCGGGUCUAUUUGACAAAGGCUCCAAAGGAAGCCACGGCUAACUCUGUGCCAGCAGCCGCGGUAAUACAGAGGUGGCAAGCGUUGUUCGGAAUUAUUGGGCGUAAAGAGCACGUAGGUGGAUUUGUAAGUCAGAUGUGAAAGCCUUCUGUUCAACGGAAGAAUUGCAUCUGAAACUACAAACCUUGAGUGUAGGAGGGGAGAAUGGAACUUCUGGUGGAGCGGUGAAAUGCGUAGAUAUCAGAAGGAACGCCGGCGGCGAAAGCGAUUCUCUGGCCUAUUACUGACACUCAGUGUGCGAAAGCUAGGGAAGCAAACGGGAUUAGAUACCCCGGUAGUCCUAGCCGUAAACGAUGGGCACUAAGUAGA